GACGAACGCUGGCGGCGUGCUUAACACAUGCAAGUCGAGCGAUGAAGCACCUUCGGGUGUGAAUUAGCGGCGAACGGGUGAGGAACACGUGAGAAAUCUGCCUUCAACUCUGGGAUAACUCCGGGAAACCGGGGCUAAUACCGGAUAUGAGCCUCUUUCGCAUGAGGGGGGCUGGAAAGUUUUUCGGUUGAAGAUGAUCUCGCGGCCUAUCAGCUUGUUGGUGAGGUAAUGGCUCACCAAGGCGACGAUCAGUAGCCGACCUGAGAGGGUGAACGGCCACACUGGAACUGAGACACGGUCCAGACUCCUACGGGAGGCAGCAGUGGGGAAUAUUGCACAAUGGGCGCAAGCCUGAUGCAGCAACGCCGCGUGAAUGAUGAAGGCCUUCGGGUCGUAAAGUUCUGUCCUAAGGGAAGAAUACAGUGACGGUACCUUAGGAGGAAGCCCCGGCUAACUACGUGCCAGCCGCCGCAGUAAGAC
rnacentral:rRNA from 1 species